rnacentral:rRNA from 1 species
GACGAACCGUACGAACGUUAUUCGGAAUCACUGGGCUUAAAGGGUGCGUAGGCUGCGCGGAAAGUUGGGUGUGAAAUCCCUCGGCUCAACCGAGGAACUGCGCCCAAAACUGCCGUGCUCGAGGGAGACAGAGGUGAGCGGAACUUAGGGUGGAGCGGUGAAAUGCGUUGAUAUCCUAAGGAACACCGGUGGCGAAAGCGGCUCACUGGGUCUCUUCUGACGCUGAGGCACGAAAGCUAGGGGAACGAAUGGG